UACGAAUGGUGCAAUCGUUACUCUGAAUUACUGGGCGUAAAGCGUGCGUAGGCGGUUUGUUAAGUCUGUCGUGAAAGCCCCGGGCUCAACCUGGGAAUUGCGAUGGAAACUGGCGAGCUAGAGUACGGUAGAGGAGAGUGGAAUUCCCGGUGUAGCAGUGAAAUGCGUAGAGAUGUGGAGGAAUACCGAUGGCGAAGGCAGCCCCCUGGGAUAACACUGACGCUCAUGUACGAAAGCGUGGGUAGCAAACAGG
rnacentral:rRNA from 1 species